CCAGAGGUGGGGGAGAAGUCGAUGUUGUAACCAGUCGCCGUGUGCAGCAUGUGCUAAAAGGAGUUGUUGCAGUCCAGAAGACGUGAUUGGUGUGUGAUAAUCCAGAGGGACAUUAAUGCUUGACUGAAUUUUGGAAAUGAGAGGCAGUAAAUGUGUUUGAGGAUGGAGUGGUGG